rfam:Canis lupus familiaris chromosome 2, whole genome shotgun sequence.
AGGAGCAACAGCCCCAGUGGCGGGGCAGCUCUGGAAACCUGGAUUCAGCUCCGGCAGGAACUCCGUCUGCAGGGCCUGGAGGCUCCGGGGCGGG